UACGUAGGUGGCAAGCGUUAUCCGGAUUUACUGGGUGUAAAGGGCGUGUAGGCGGGAAAGCAAGUCAGAUGUGAAAACCAUGGGCUCAACCUGUGGCCUGCAUUUGAAACUGUUUUUCUUGAGUACUGGAGAGGCAGACGGAAUUCCUAGUGUAGCGGUGAAAUGCGUAGAUAUUAGGAGGAACACCAGUGGCGAAGGCGGUCUGCUGGACAGCAACUGACGCUGAGGCGCGAAAGCGUGGGUAGCAAACAGG
rnacentral:rRNA from 1 species